AGUGAACGCUGGCGGUAGGCCUAACACAUGCAAGUCGAACGGCCGCACAGUAAGCUUUUGCCCUUACGGUUGGCGACUGACGGACGGGUGAGGAAUACAUCGGAUACUACUUAUUCGUGGGGGACAACGGAGGAAAACUUACGCUAAUACCGCAUACGAUCUACGGGUUAAAUCAAUGGUUCUUCACACCUUUCCCGUCUGAAUUAGCCGGCGCCGGAUUAGCUAGUUGGCAGGGUAAAGGCCCACCAAGGCAACGAUGCGUAGCUGAGCUGAGAGGAUGAUCAGCCACACUGGAACUGAGACACGGUCCAGACUCCUACGGGAGGCAGCAGUAGGGAAUCUUGCGCAAUGGGCGAAAGCCUGACGCAGCAAUACCGCGUGAGUGAUGAAGGUCUUCGGAUCGUAAAACCCUUUUGUUGGGAAAGAACAACUGCAGGUUAAUCCCCCCAUGUCUUGACGGUACCUAAAGAGUAAGCACCGGCUAACUUCGUG
rnacentral:rRNA from 1 species